GAUGAGCAGAACCAGGCAAUCAAGUAAGGCAGCCAGCAGAGUGGCCAGGGGAAGUGCAGCUGAGGUAAGAAGAGGGAGGCUGGGAGCUGCAUGGUCCACUGCAAAGUUCUAAAGCUGUUCAAGGCGGUCCUUCUGGCUCCAAUCUCUUCUCUGAAAAAAAAAAAAAACUAUGAAAGAGGAACUGGGAAGCCACACGGCAACAGUUGCUGCCUCUGGAAUGAAUUCCUUUAGAAUCAUUCUUCUGGAAUUCUGAAGCUUCCGGGGCCAGCAAUACUGUUCCAGAACACAGGAGGCACACGUGGCAGCUACCGCAUCACAGAAUCACUCUUGGGUGGCAUCAGGGCAAUCGCUGAUGGAACACGGGAACUAUGACUUUAAGGAAAGAUGCUCUACGGGGUGAGAGAGGACCUUCUUUGCUGCAGUUGAUCAAAAGCUGUGCAGAAACAGCCACGGAAUGCUAGCCCCAUUCUAUUACACUGCGAUCUGAAUUUCCCUAACCAAUAAAAGAAAAAAAAAUCUG